rnacentral:sRNA from 1 species
UCCAUUUGCGUCAAUAUGGUAGCCAAGAA